rnacentral:rRNA from 1 species
GAUCCUGGCUCAGAAUCAACGCUGGCGGCGCGCUUAACACAUGCAAGUCGAACGAGAAAGGGGAGCAAUCCCUGAGUAAAGUGGCGUACGGGUGAGUAACACGUGGGUAAUCUACCUUUUGGUGGGGAAUAACGCUGGGAAACCGGCGCUAAUACCGCAUAAGCUCGAAAGAGGAAAGGAGCAAUUCGCCGAAAGAGGAGCCCGCGGCUGAUUAGCUAGUUGGUAGGGUAAAAGCCUACCAAGGCUAUGAUCGGUAGCCGGCCUGAGAGGGCACACGGCCACACUGGCACUGAAACACGGGCCAGACUCCUACGGGAGGCAGCAGUGGGGAAUCUUGCACAAUGGGGGAAACCCUGAUGCAGCGACGCCGCGUGAGUGAUGAAGCCCUUCGGGGUGUAAAGCUCUUUCGGCAGGGACGAUAAUGACGGUACCUGAAGAAGAAGCUGCGGCUAACUACGUGCCAGCAGCCGCGGUAAUACGUAGGCAGCGAGCGUUGUUCGGAGUUACUGGGCGUAAAGAGUGCGUAGGCGGUUUUCUAAGUUUGGUGUGAAAUCUCCCGGCUCAACUGGGAGGGUGCGCCGAAGACUGGAAGGCUAGAGUAUGGGAGAGGUAAGCGGAAUUCCUGGUGUAGCGGUGAAAUGCGUAGAUAUCAGGAGGAACACCUGCGGUGUAGACGGCUUACUGGACCAU